GUGAGGAAUUUUGCGCAAUGGCCGCAAGGCUGACGCAGCAACGCCGCGUGGGUGAUGAAGGCCUUCGGGUCGUAAAGCCCUGUCAGGUGGGAAGAAAGGCUUGGAGAAGCAACGCUUUGAGUUUGACGGUACCACCAGAGGAAGCACCGGCUAACUCCGUGCCAGCAGCCGCGGUAAUACGGAGGGUGCGAGCGUUAUUCGGAAUUACUGGGCGUAAAGCGCGUGUAGGCGGGGAUGCAAGUCUGAUGUGAAAGCACUGGGCUUAACCUGGGAAGUGCAUUGGAAACUGCAUUUCUUGAGUACUGGAGAGGAAGGGGGAAUUCCCGGUGUAGAGGUGAAAUUCGUAGAGAUCGGGAGGAAUACCAGUGGCGUAGGCGCCCUUCUGGACGGUAACUGACGCUGAGACGCGAAAGCGUGGGGAGCAAACAGGAUUAGAAACCCGGGUAGUCC
rnacentral:rRNA from 1 species